AAUAAUACAAACCAAAGAAGUAUGACGUAGAUAUAUUAAUAUUAUGUGACACGUGACAGAAGCUCAAAACAAAUGACAAUCGAUGAAAAGCCCUAUUGUUGGCAAACAUAUGCGAUCCAUCGGCGUUAGUACACAGCAGUGCUGAUAUCCUGUCCUUACUGAUUUUUCUUCCAGAAUUCGAUUUUUCAUAUUUUUGCAUUCAAAUUUUUUUACGUUUGAUCAGAUUUUUUGUCCGUUAUAUCCGAAGUCCGUUAAAUAGAGGUCCGUUCUAUCGAGGUUUUACUGUAGUUAAAAUUGUAAAAAUGCCACAAGAAAAUAGCUUCAGAACAACCAUUUAAAAGGUUCUGACCUUGGUAUUUCUUUGGUGGCUCAGCUAGUAUUCAACCUGUAAGUAUAGCCAACUUGCUUUAACCCUAGUCAAAAUUUCAAAUAUCAACUUUGUAUUCAUUAACACGGUUAUAUGUACUUACUUUUAGGUUUAUUUUAACACUGAUGAUGAUUUUGUAAGAAAAUCGAAAACGAUCGGUAGUGAUGUAGCCCUUAACGGGAUUUUAAUAAAAGUUUGUAUACGUUUUACAAAAAAUUUU
rnacentral:lncRNA from 1 species